AGCAGCCCAGAGUCUGAAUCAGCUUGUGUGUUAGUGGAACGGUCUGGAAAGUCCGACGGUACAGGGUGAUAGUCCCGUACACCAAAAUGCACAGGUUGUGAACUCGAAGAGUAGGGCGGGACACGUGGUAUCCUGUCUGAAUAUGGGGGGACCAUCCUCCAAGGCUAAAUACUCCUGACUGACCGAUAGUGAACCAGUACCGUGAGGGAAAGGCGAAAAGAACCCCGGCGAGGGGAGUGAAAAAGAACCUGAAACCGUGUACGUACAAGCAGUGGGAGCACCUUCGGGUGUGACUGCGUACCUUUUGUAUAAUGGGUCAGCGACUUAUAUUCUGUAGCAAGGUUAACCGUAUAGGGGAGCCGCAGGGAAACCGAGUCUUAACUGGGCGUUAAGUUGCAGGGUAUAGACCCGAAACCCGGUGAUCUAGCCAUGGGCAGGUUGAAGGUUGGGUAACACUAACUGGAGGACCGAACCGACUAAUGUUGAAAAAUUAGCGGAUGACUUGUGGCUGGGGGUGAAAGGCCAAUCAAACCGGGAGAUAGCUGGUUCUCCCCGAAAGCUAUUUAGGUAGCGCCUCGUGAAUUCAUCUUCGGGGGUAGAGCACUGUUUCGGCUAGGGGGUCAUCCCGACUUACCAACCCGAUGCAAACUACGAAUACCGAAGAAUGUUAUCACGGGAGACACACGGCGGGUGCUAACGUCCGUCGUGAAGAGGGAAACAACCCAGACCGCCAGCUAAGGUCCCAAAGUCAUGGUUAAGUGGGAAACGAUGUGGGAAGGCACAGACAGCCAGGAUGUUGGCUUAGAAGCAGCCAUCAUUUAAAGAAAGCGUAAUAGCUCACUGGUCGAGUCGGCCUGCGCGGAAGAUGUAACGGGGCUAAACCAUGCACCGAAGCUGCGGCAGCGACACUAUGUGUUGUUGGGUAGGGGAGCGUUCUGUAAGCCUGCGAAGGUGACCUGUGAGGGUUGCUGGAGGUAUCAGAAGUGCGAAUGCUGACAUAAGUAACGAUAAAGCGGGUGAAAAGCCCGCUCGCCGGAAGACCAAGGGUUCCUGUCCAACGUUAAUCGGGGCAGGGUGAGUCGACCCCUAAGGCGAGGCCGAAAGGCGUAGUCGAUGGGAAACAGGUUAAUAUUCCUGUACUUGGUGUUACUGCGAAGGGGGGACGGAGAAGGCUAUGUUAGCCGGGCGACGGUUGUCCCGGUUUAAGCAUGUAGGCUGAUUGUCCAGGCAAAUCCGGAUAAUCAAGGCUGAGGUGUGAUGACGAGGCACUACGGUGCUGAAGUAACAAAUGCCCUGCUUCCAGGAAAAGCCUCUAAGCAUCAGGUAACAUUAAAUCGUACCCCAAACCGACACAGGUGGUCAGGUAGAGAAUACCAAGGCGCUUGAGAGAACUCGGGUGAAGGAACUAGGCAAAAUGGUGCCGUAACUUCGGGAGAAGGCACGCUGGUGUGUAGGUGAAGCCCCUGCGGGUGGAGCUGAGACCAGUCGAAGAUACCAGCUGGCUGCAACUGUUUAUUAAAAACACAGCACUGUGCAAACACGAAAGUGGACGUAUACGGUGUGACGCCUGCCCGGUGCCGGAAGGUUAAUUGAUGGGGUUAUCCGUAAGGAGAAGCUCUUGAUCGAAGCCCCGGUAAACGGCGGCCGUAACUAUAACGGUCCUAAGGUAGCGAAAUUCCUUGUCGGGUAAGUUCCGACCUGCACGAAUGGCGUAAUGAUGGCCAGGCUGUCUCCACCCGAGACUCAGUGAAAUUGAACUCGCUGUGAAGAUGCAGUGUACCCGCGGCAAGACGGAAAGACCCCGUGAACCUUUACUAUAGCUUGACACUGAACAUUGAGCCUUGAUGUGUAGGAUAGGUGGGAGGCUUUGAAGCGUGGACGCCAGUCUGCGUGGAGCCAACCUUGAAAUACCACCCUUUAAUGUUUGAUGUUCUAACGUUGGCCCCUUACCGGGGUUGCGGACAGUGUCUGGUGGGUAGUUUGACUGGGGCGGUCUCCUCCCAAAGCGUAACGGAGGAGCACGAAGGUUAGCUAAUCCUGGUCGGACAUCAGGAGGUUAGUGCAAUGGCAUAAGCUAGCUUGACUGCGAGCGUGACGGCGCGAGCAGGUGCGAAAGCAGGUCAUAGUGAUCCGGUGGUUCUGAAUGGAAGGGCCAUCGCUCAACGGAUAAAAGGUACUCCGGGGAUAACAGGCUGAUACCGCCCAAGAGUUCAUAUCGACGGCGGUGUUUGGCACCUCGAUGUCGGCUCAUCACAUCCUGGGGCUGAAGUAGGUCCCAAGGGUAUGGCUGUUCGCCAUUUAAAGUGGUACGCGAGCUGGGUUUAGAACGUCGUGAGACAGUUCGGUCCCUAUCUGCCGUGGGCGCUGGAGAAUUGAGGGGGGCUGCUCCUAGUACGAGAGGACCGGAGUGGACGCAUCACUGGUGUUCGGGUUGUCAUGCCAAUGGCACUGCCCGGUAGCUAAAUGCGGAAGAGAUAAGUGCUGAAAGCAUCUAAGCACGAAACUUGCCCCGAGAUGAGUUCUCCCUGAGACUUUAAGUCUCCUGAAGGAACGUUAAAGACGAUGACGUUGAUAGGCCGGGUGUGUAAGCGCAGCGAUGCGUUGAGCUAACCGGUACUAAUGAACCGUGAGGCUUAACCUU
rnacentral:rRNA from 1 species